rnacentral:rRNA from 1 species
GAUGAACGCUGGCGGCGUGCCUAAUACAUGCAAGUCGAGCGAACGGACGAGAAGCUUGCUUUUCUGAUGUUAGCGGCGGACGGGUGAGUAACACGUGGAUAACUUACCUAUAAGACUGGGAUAACUUCGGGAAACCGGAGCUAAUACCGGAUAAUAUUUUGAACCGCAUGGUUCAAAAGUGAAAGACGGUCUUGCUGUCACUUAUAGAUGGAUCCGCGCUGCAUUAGCUAGUUGGUAAGGUAACGGCUUACCAAGGCAACGAUGCAUAGCCGACCUGAGAGGGUGAUCGGCCACACUGGAACUGAGACACGGUCCAGACUCUACGGGAGGCAGCAGUAGGGAAUCUUCCGCAAUGGGCGAAAGCCUGACGGAGCAACGCCGCGUGAGUGAUGAAGGUCUUCGGAUCGUAAAACUCUGUUAUUAGGGAAGAACAUAUGUGUAAGUAACUGUGCACAUCUUGACGGUACCUAAUCAGAAAGCCACGGCUAACUACGUG